rnacentral:lncRNA from 1 species
UUUUAUCCCCAUAAUAAUAUAUUUUAUAACUUCUGUUUAGAAUAUUGGCAGAUAAUAAAACUUGAUUGCCUGAUUUUCAAUUUAAACACUUAUCAAUCAAAUACAUAAGUACUUGUUCAGGGUAGAGAAAAGUUAAUACUUUAUAUUAUCUAUGUAACUCUGAAAGACAAGAAAGUUUCUGUACAUUUACGGACUACAAAUAUAGAAGUUAAAGGAAAUGCCUUCUAGCUGGCGUAAUCUUAGGAAAAAAAGCAGACUGAAGUAUUAUAAAUUGUUAGCAGAAGAUGUGUAAAGAUAUGAUCACCUAGAUAAUAUAAAUCAAUUUUCUAUUCUUGUGCUGAAGCCUAGACCCCACACGGCAGCCUGAUGUAAUUCCAUUAACAUGCUUAAUUACUUGGCACUUGUAUAGCCUUUUUAUUUUUACUGUUAUCCUGGUAAAUCAUUCAGAAGAAAUAAAUUAGCUUGCCACUCAAAAUUAACUACUAUGGUGCAUUGCUGCCCCACCCCCCAAAAGAUGAGUUGACAGCUACUGGGCGUUAAUCUAGCCAUUUUUUGAUAACAGAGUAUCUCUUUGCGCAUAGUUAUGAUGAGAGGUAUAAACAUUCCAAAUGUAAUUAUCUCAGUCCUUUACAACUUGAAAGUCUAAUUAAAGAAAGUUUAAGACACUAUAAAUCUUAAGGAAUUAGGUUUACGAUGUGGAACCCAGUCAGUCAGAGCUUGGGAUUACAUUGGAAAGUGAGUAUAUUGAAAAGGAUUGCAGAAACAUUUCUCUCAGCCAGAAUUUAAUUGCUCAGAAAACUGAAUUUCAGUAAAGUAGAUGAAAAGUGGUAGGCAGAGAGACUCAGACCUAUGACUGCUGAAGAAAGAGCUAAUUCCAUGUCCCUUUUUCUAGAUGCCCUGUAAUACACUUGUGUCAGUGAUAAAUGCUGCUUUGCUGUGCUACACCGAGUACAAGGUAGUGAUAAGACAUGACUGGGAAGCAGUUACCAGAGACAAGCAAGGAUAGGGCUUUGAAUGCAUCCUCUGCUGGUGGCUUCUGUAGUUAUGCAUAAAAUUUACUCUGACCUGUUUACUUUUAUAGCCUGUCUUUACUUUGUUUCUUUUAAUAUUAUACAUGUUUAGGCUAUGCUUUUUCUUUAAAUAUGUGAGCAAAUCUAUUGGUGUAAUGUACUCAUUACCCUAAAACCUAUAUUAUAAUGGACCCGAAUACCAUAAGGUAGAAGAUCAGAAGAAAAAGAAAAUGCAUACAUUUUUAUCUUUAAAACAAUUCACUUUUAAGAUUAUUUUCUUGAAAGGUAUACGUUUGAUGGAGCUGAAUCUAGUUCCUUCAGGCAGAUAUAAUAGGAUACAAUAGGAUAGGACUUCUUGGGUAAAAAAGGUGUAGUAAUCUGUGAGACUCAUGGGAAGGAGAAAGGAAAUUAUUAAUUAAUUUGGCUGAGGCCAGGGUAGUAAGCAGAUUCAUUAUAAAUUCUGGCAGCAGAGGAAUACUUGAGAAAUGCUUAUAAAGUUAGAUCAUCUAUUUUUCCAAGCAAAUUCUUCAUGUCAUUCCACCUUGUAAAAACUUUGUGGAAAAGAAUAAGCACAUGAAUGAGCAAUGAAUAGACUUUGCAUUAGAUUGGUAAUCUUGCUACUAGUACAUUAAUUUACUUGUAUUACUGAUAUUUUAAGAUAGGAUUUUUACAGAUGUUUAUAUAUUUUUUAAAAGCCUAUUUUUUUCUUUACCCAUUUUCUCAAUUUUUUUAACCUCGAAAACUUUUUCCUCCCUGAGAGAAAUACAUGGGCUAUCUUCAGCAUAGAACACAAACUCUGCCUUCUUUUCUCAAGUCCAGUGAUUCAAGUUUGACACACCACACCACGGUGGAUGUGCCUUGUCAUGACACAUCUCAGCAGCACUAGAAGAUACAUCCAAAGUCCUGUGAGCAAGGUCUGUGGUAUCUGUUUAUUAUGGCAGCCCAGUAAGACUAAGACAGGCCAUCACAAGACGUGAACGUUUUGGACCUUCUCUUGGGCCCUAGUAAACAGAAAUCAGGCUAUUUAUUAAACUAAUCCACGUUCUGAACAGUUAUUGCUACUGGAAACCAGUCCCGAUCCAGACCACAAAAGACGAUUCUUGGAUCUUGCACAAGAAAGAAAGGGAAGAUCUGGCAAGAGUUAGCGUGCAGUUCUACAUUGUGACAAUUCAUGAGAGCUAAGGACUGGCUGUCUCUUGGGACAAAUAGGCUUUCUUGAGUCUGCAUGAGGCCCUCACCAGAUACAGCCACCUGAUCUUGGACUUCACAGCCUCCAGAAAUAUGCCCUGGAAUACACUUGUGUCAGUGACAAAUGCUGCUUUGCUGUGCUACAUCGAGUACAAGAGAAAUACAUGGGCUAUCUUCAGCACAGAACACAAACUCUGCCUUCUUUUCUCAAGUCCAGUGAUUCAAGUUUGACACACCACACCACGGUGGAUGUGCCUUGUCAUGACACAUCUUCUCAGCAGCACUAGAAGAUACAUCCAAAGUCCUGUGAGCAAGGACACAGCGAGAAGAUGGCUGUCUACAAGCCAGGAAGAGAGUCCUCACCAGAACCAAACCCUGCUGGACUUUGAUCUUGGACUUCCCAGCCUCUAAAACUGUGAAGACAUAAAUUUCUGUUGUUAAACCCACACAGGUCUGUGGUAUCUGUUUAUUAUGGCAGCCCAGUAAGACUAAGACAGGCCAUCACAAGACAUGAAUGUUUUGGACCUUCUCUUGGGCCCUAGUAAACAGAAAUCAGGUACGCAAAAGGGGUAAGCAUAUAAUUUCCUUUAUUUUUAUUUUUAAUGUGUAAGCCUUAGGUUUUUAUUUAUUUAUUUGGUGAAGACAAUCACAUUGUGUACGUACAAUGUAAUUAUAUUGUUGACGAGAAGUUACUUAAAAUUUUUUAAAAAUUCUAAUCGAUUUCUAGAUGUCCAAAUGAGAAGAUAGCAUUUAUAUACCAUCAGAACAUAAAAUAAUUCAAAAAAAUAAAUUUAUAAAACAAUAUGUAUUAUAUUGAGAGAAAGAGAGGGAGAGAGUAUUGGAAGAAUAUAUGCAAAUACAAUGUGAUAAUGUGAUGUCUUUGUGAGAAUGCUAUAUGUCAUUUUCUUUGUUUAUAUGAAUUUUUACAAUUUUUACCUUUGAAAUAUAAAAAAGAGAGAAUAAAAGUCAUUGAAAAAAUCAAAAGUAACUAUUUUCAUAGGUGAGUAAGUAUACAUCUUUAACAGAAC